rnacentral:rRNA from 1 species
UACGGAGGAUCCAAGCGUUAUCCGGAAUCAUUGGGUUUAAAGGGUCCGUAGGCGGUUUGGUAAGUCAGUGGUGAAAGCCCAUCGCUCAACGGUGGAACGGCCAUUGAUACUGCCAGACUUGAAUUAUUGGGAAGUAACUAGAAUAUGUAGUGUAGCGGUGAAAUGCUUAGAGAUUACAUGGAAUACCAAUUGCGAAGGCAGGUUACUACCGAUGGAUUGACGCUGAUGGACGAAAGCGUGGGUAGCGAACAGG